AGGGUCCCUGGCCUCACACUCCCGCCCUGGGGCUUUAGGUAGAGCUGCCUGCUGUGGGAGGCCAAGAGGAAGUACACAAAGUACAGAGGCUUGCUGAGAACAGCCUGACCUCUUGGAGGCCCACGCUUCCUGGCAGAGCCAACCGCAAGUUCCGCAUUCCCAUGCCCUGAAACAGUAUAAGUAGCUGGGACAAGAGAAAAAUAAAGGCUUGCUUACUUGCUCCAUGAAGUGACUCUGCUGUUCUGUUAAUCCCGACGCCCUUCUCCUGUCUCGCCGUCACCGUCGGGCUGGACGCGACAAGAAUGACCUCAAAGAAUAGAGGGAAAACAAGAUUCUAAGUCAGGAAUGCAAGGCAAAAACAAGACUUGGCUUUUGCAUAUGGAAGUUCUGCCAACCUCAUAGCCUGACAGAAGUGCAAGAACACGUGCUUUAGAGUGGGACAAGACCGCCAAUAAUGAAAACCAGGAUUGAUUGUGGAAUGUUGACAAAGCAAUAACAAAGUAUGUUCUGUGAAGCAUUAAGAUUAAACACAGAUGAAACUCUCAUCUUGCCAAACUACUUUCAACAUUUCACAAUACUCAUCAGAAAACAGGAUUUCUUCUCACCUUGGGGACAUUCAGGAGUGAUCCUUUCUCAGGGAUUUUGAAACACCAAGCAAGAAAUGAUACUUUUCUGGUGUCUUCCAUUUGCAAGAAGAGUUCCAAUAUAAUGCUCUUUGUCCUCAGACUGCCUUUCUGGUCACCAACUGAGUCCUCACCAAUGUCUGAUGGUUGUGUCCAUUGCAUGGAUGUGCACAUGAAGGUUCACUGAGAAUAACUGACUCAAGGUUUCAAGUGGCAGAUGUGCCCAAGACAAAUUCCUCUGGCCCCUGCUGUUCUAUAAGUCAAAAAAUUAUCUUUAUUUAUUUGAUAGAGACAGACAAAAAUCAAGAAGAAAAGAGAGACAGAUAUGAAGAGAGACAAAGAGACGCCUUCAGCCCUGCCUCACUGCACAUGAAGCUUUCUCCUUGUAGGUGGGGAUUGCAGGCUUAAAGCAGGUGUACCAUUAACCAGC